rnacentral:rRNA from 1 species
GAAACUGGAGCUAAUACCGAAUAAGACCACGGGGUANUCCGGAUCCCGCGGUAAAAGAUGGCCUCUUCUUGAAAAGCUAUCGCCUGUUGAUGAGUCAGCGUCCCAUUAGCUUGUUGGUGAGGUAACGGCUCACCAAGGCUCCGAUGGGUAGCAGGUCUGAGAGGAUGAUCAGCCACACUGGAACUGAGACACGGUCCAGACUCCUACGGGAGGCAGCAGUCGGGAAUCUUGGGCAAUGGGGGCAACCCUGACCCAGCAACUCCGCGUGAGGGAUGAAGGCCUUCGGGUCGUAAACCUCUGUCGGGAGGGAAGAAAGGGCCGUAUGCGAAUAGUUUACGGUUUUGACGGUACCUCCAAAGGAANGUCCGGCUAACUCCGUGCCAGCAGCCGCGGUAAUACGGAGGGACCAAGCGUUGUUCGGAAUCAUUGGGCGUAAAGCGGGUGUAGGCGGCUUGGCAGUUCGGGUGUGAAAUCCCUGGGCUCACCCAGGAACUGCACUC